rnacentral:lncRNA from 1 species
UCAUUAUAAACUCCAUGAAUCCAGGUUUUCUCUUUUUCUGAAUGAUUUGCUAAAAACCAUUCUUGAAUCCUUUAUUUCUUUUGAGAAUCAAAUAGCCCUUUCAGCUUUUGCUUAUUAGGAAUAUAUUCUUUAUUGCCUAAUACAAGAACAUUUUCUUCAUAAUAUCCCAUAUCUGAAGGAGUUAGGCUUUCAACUCUAAGGAUUUUUGGUGGAGUUUCAAAUUUAUACACUGG